GGGGCGCAGUCGUCAAAUGUCAAAUGCAGGAAUCAUGUAUGUUUAUGUGUCUUGAAAAGGCGCGAUUUUGUGUUUUGCAUAUUAGAAGUGUUAUUUCAUCAAAUCCAACAGCAAUUUGUGUCAUUCUCAUUUAUAAUAUAAUUAGUACUGCGCACACGUUGCCUAAACGUCUGCAUUGGGGUCAAAGGUAAAGGUUGCAAAAGUCUCUUACCAGUUCACAUCAGAAAAGUGAAAACCGAAAUGGGCGAAAACUAUUUGAGCGAGGAAAAAUUACAUGUAAUCUCCAGUAUAAUGCAAGCUGUUAUAUGUGAAGGUGAAUUGGUCCAUCUAGGAUUUCUAGGAAGUCUGCGAUUUGUAAUGUAUUGAAUGCUACUGAACGAAUGCGUUUAAGAUGCAAGAAUUUAAAAUCUUGAACAAAUGGCCAAGAGAAGGGAGAGCACACUACAAUAAAAUUAUAAAUAGUAAUGUAAUGAUGUUGUCUGUAGAAAGCAGUCUCAUUUGUUAACUGCUCAUGCAGAAUCUGUCUGAAAAUUAACUAAGACUACAAACCUUUCUUGGAAAUUCUGACUGUCAAGUAAAAAUGAAGUGUAAUUUGGUUUUUUAGUAUUCAUGGUCACUGUUUUAGAAAAACAUGAGUUUCCUAAGAAAGAAAUAUGUCAGUAACUUAUUUUUUGGACAGGUUAUAUGAAGACAGUAUAAACGAGAUUGUUAUUGUGUAAUUUACGUGGAAAAAGUGCUCGAAUUUAUUAUGAGUAGGCACGUUGGUGAUCAGUUGUGUAUAGUUGGUUGCAUACUUUCCCUUUAGAACAAGAUUUGUUUUGUACAUAUAACACUGACGAAUAAUUAAUAAGCAGAAUAUUUCUGAUUAAUGUAAUUAUGCAUCCCAACGAGAAUCACUGAAUCAAUUUUUAAACUAACAACAAUGUUGAUGAGUUUAUUUAAUAAAUAUAGUACUUUUGGUAGAACAGAAAAA